UUACAGCCAUAUCACAUUGAAACACCGGUACGAUCACCGAAGUUAAGCGACGUUGAGCCUGGUCAGUACCUAGAUCGGUGACCGACUGGGAAUACAAAGUUCUGUAA